rnacentral:rRNA from 1 species
GACGAACGCUGGCGGCGUGCCUAAUACAUGCAAGUCGAACGCUUCUUUCCUCCCGAGUGCUUGCACUCAAUUGGAAAGAGGAGUGGCGGACGGGUGAGUAACACGUGGGUAACCUACCCAUCACAGGGGGAUAACACUUGGAAACAGGUGCUAAUACCGCAUAACAGUUUAUGCCGCAUGGCAUAAGAGUGAAAGGCGCUUUCGGGUGUCGCUGAUGGAUGGACCCGCGGUGCAUUAGCUAGUUGGUGAGGUAACGGCUCACCAAGGCCACGAUGCAUAGCCGACCUGAGAGGGUGAUCGGCCACACUGGGACUGAGACACGGCCCAGACUCCUACGGGAGGCAGCAGUAGGGAAUCUUCGGCAAUGGACGAAAGUCUGACCGAGCAACGCCGCGUGAGUGAAGAAGGUUUUCGGAUCGUAAAACUCUGUUGUUAGAGAAGAACAAGGACGUUAGUAACUGAACGUCCCCUGACGGUAUCUAACCAGAAAGCCACGGCUAACUACGU